rnacentral:rRNA from 1 species
UAGGGAAUCUUCGGCAAUGGACGAAAGUCUGACCGAGCAACGCCGCGUGAGUGAAGAAGGUUUUCGGAUCGUAAAACUCUGUUGUUAGAGAAGAACAAGGACGUUAGUAACUGAACGUCCCCUGACGGUAUCUAACCAGAAAGCCACGGCUAACUACGUGCCAGCAGCCGCGGUAAUACGUAGGUGGCAAGCGUUGUCCGGAUUUAUUGGGCGUAAAGCGAGCGCAGGCGGUUUCUUAAGACUGAUGUGAAAGCCCCCGGCUCAACCGGGGAGGGUCAUUGGAAACUGGGAGACUUGAGUGCAGAAGAGGAGAGUGGAUUUCCAGGUGUAGCGGUGAAAUGCGUAGAUAUAUGGAGGAACACCAGGGGCGAAGGCGGCUCUCUGGUCUGUAACUGACGCUGAGGCUCGAAAGCGUGGGGAUCAAACAGG